rnacentral:rRNA from 1 species
UACGUAGGGUGCAAGCGUUAAUCGGAAUUACUGGGCGUAAAGCGUGCGCAGGCGGCUUUGCAAGACAGAUGUGAAAUCCCCGGGCUCAACCUGGGAACUGCAUUUGUGACUGCAUCGCUGGAGUACGGCAGAGGGGGAUGGAAUUCCGCGUGUAGCAGUGAAAUGCGUAGAUAUGCGGAGGAACACCGAUGGCGAAGGCAAUCCCCUGGGCCUGUACUGACGCUCAUGCACGAAAGCGUGGGGAGCAAACAGG